rnacentral:rRNA from 1 species
AGAAGUUAUUAAGGGCAAUAGGUGGAUGCCUUGACGCCGAGAAGCGAAGAAAGACGUGGUGGGCUGCGAUAAGCCUCGGGGAGGAGCCAAACAUCCUUUGAUCCGGGGAUUUCUGAAUGGGGAAACCCGGCGGGAGUCAUGUCCCGUCGCCGUUAACUGAAUUCAUAGGUUGACGAGCGCUAACGCAGGGAAGUGAAACAUCUCAGUACCUGCAGGAAAGGAAAUCAAACGAGACUCCCAAAGUAGCGGCGAGCGAAAUGGGAAGAGCCUAAACCGGAUGGAUUCGUCCAUCCGGGGUUGUAGGGCCGGUAUAAUUGAUCCAUGAUUAGGCAGGAGAACCUUCUGGAAAGUAGGGCCAAAGCGGGUGACAGCCCCGUAUCUGAAACCGAAAGUGGCAAGACCGGUACCUGAGUACCGCGGGGCACGUGAAACCCCGUGGGAAUCCGGGAGGACCAUCUUCCAAGGCUAAGUAUUCCUCGGCGAUCGAUAGCGAACCAGUACCGUAAGGGAAAGGUGAAAAGAACCCCUGUCAGGGGAGUGAAAAGAACCUGAAACCUGUUGCCUACAAGCUGUGGGAGCGGCUUUAACUGCCGUGACCAUGUGCCUUUUGCAUAAUGAGUCAGCGAGUUACUUUGUACAGCAAGGUUAAGCGAAAGUGUAGCCGAAGCGAAAGCGAGUCUGAAUAGGGCGUUAAGUUGUGCGGAGUAGACCCGAAACCGAGUGAGCUAUCCAUGAGCAGGUUGAAGCACGGGUAAAACCUUGUGGAGGACCGAACCGUCAACGGCUGAAAACGUUCCGGAUGACUUGUGGAUAGGGGUGAAAGGCCAAUCAAACUCGGUGAUAGCUGGUUCUCCCCGAAAUAUAUUGAGGUAUAGCCUCACGGAUUGUCUGACGCAGGUAAAGCACUGAAAAGGCUAGGGGUCCCACCAGAUUACCAAACCUUAUCAAACUCUGAAUGGCGUUUAGAUGUACCGUGGGAGUCAGACUGCGGGUGCGAAGAUUCGUAGUCGAGAGGGAAACAGCCCAGAUCGACAGCUAAGGCCUCCAAAUCCAUACUCAGUGGCUAAGGUGGUGGAGUUGUUUAGACAGCCAGGAAGUUGGCUUAGAAGCAGCCAUCUUUUAAAGAAAGCGUAAUAGCUCACUGGUCUAAUGACUCUGCGCCGAAAAUGUUCGGGGCUAAGUAUGGUGCCGAAGCUUCGGGAUCCGCGUAUGCGGAUCGGUAGGGGAGCGUUCUCUAUGGGCAGAAGCUGCCGUGUAAACGUGUGGUGGACUGUAGAGAAGUGAUUAUGCUGACAUGAGUAACGUUAAAACAGGUGAAAAACCUGUUCGCCGCAAACCCAAGGUUUCCUGGGUAAAGGUAAUCUUCCCAGGGUUAGUCGGCCCCUAAGGCGAGGCUGAAAAGCGUAGUCGAUGGGAAACGGGUUAAUAUUCCCGUACUUGUAUGAGUGUGCGAUGGAGGGACGCAGAAAGAUAGGCCAGCCUCCUGUUGGAUGGAGGUGUAAGUACGUAGGCUUGAGGGACAGGCAAAUCCGCCCUCUUUACGGCUGAAAUACGAGCCCGUGACCGUAUGGUCUGAAGUGGUUGAAUCUAUGCUGCCUAGAAAAGCUUCUAAGUUUAGCUCAUGCAAACCGUACCGCAAACCAACACAGGUGGGUGGGUGUAAAUGCACCAAGGCGCUCGAGAGAACUCUGGUUAAGGAACUCGGCAAAAUAACCCCGUAACUUCGGGAGAAGGGGUGCUCAUUAGACGUCAGAUUAUAUCAAAGCGUCGAAGAGCCGCAGAGAAAUGGCGGUGGCGACUGUUUACUAAAAACAUAGGUCUGUGCGAAGUCGCAAGACGACGUAUACGGACUGACGCCUGCCCGGUGCUGGAAGGUUAAGAGGAGAGGUCAGCGCAAGCGAAGCUUUGAAUUGAAGCCCCAGUAAACGGCGGCCGUAACUAUAACGGUCCUAAGGUAGCGAAAUUCCUUGUCGGGUAAGUUCCGACCUGCACGAAUGGCGUAACGAUCUCCGCACUGUCUCAACCAGAGACUCGGUGAAAUUGAAGUCGCGGUGAAAAUGCCGUGUACUCGCAGUGUGACGGAAAGACCCUGUGCACCUUUACUAUAGCUUGACAUUGAGUUUUGGGCAUGCAUGUGUAGGAUAGGUGGGAGACUGUGAAGCGGGCACGCCAGUGUUCGUGGAGUCACCCUUGAAAUACCACCCUUGCCUGUCUAAGGCUCUAACUCUCUCCCGUGAUCCGGGUAGAGGACAUUGUCUGGUGGGUAGUUUGACUGGGGCGGUCGCCUCCCAAACAAUAACGGAGGCAUACAAAGGUUCCCUCAGCCUGAUUGGAAACCAGGCGUUGAGUGCAAACGCAUAAGGGAGCUUGACUGCAAGAGUGACAGCUCGAGCAGGUACGAAAGUAGGUGUUAGUGAUCCGGUGGUCCCGAAUGGAAGGGCCAUCGCUCAUUGGAUAAAAGGUACGCCGGGGAUAACAGGCUGAUCGCAUCCAAGAGUCCAUAUCGACGAUGCGGUUUGGCACCUCGAUGUCGGCUCAUCACAUCCUGGGGCUGAAGCAGGUCCCAAGGGUACGGCUGUUCGCCGUUUAAAGUGGUACGCGAGCUGGGUUUAAAACGUCGUGAGACAGUUUGGUCCCUAUCUACUGUGAGCGUAGGAGAUUUGAGAGGGCCUGUCCCUAGUACGAGAGGACCGGGAUGGACGAACCACUGGUGCCCCUGUUGUCGUGCCAACGGCAUAGCAGGGUAGCUACGUUCGGAAGGGAUAACCGCUGAAAGCAUCUAAGCGGGAAGCCUGCCUCAAGAUAAGAUCUCCCUUAAGACCCCUGGAAGACUACCAGGUUGAUAGGCUGGGUGUGUACGCGCAGUGAUGCGUUUAGCUUACCAGUACUAAUAGGUCGAUCGACUUAAUUCU